rnacentral:rRNA from 1 species
CCUACGGGCGGCAGCAGUGGGGAAUAUUGGACAAUGGGGGGAACCCUGAUCCAGCCAUGCCGCGUGUGUGAAGAAGGCCCUCGGGUUGUAAAGCACUUUCAGUGAGGAAGAACGCCUGGUGGUUAAUACCCAUCAGGAAAGACAUCACUCACAGAAGAAGCACCGGCUAACUCCGUGCCAGCAGCCGCGGUAAUACGGAGGGUGCGAGCGUUAAUCGGAAUUACUGGGCGUAAAGCGCGCGUAGGUGGCUUGAUAAGCCGGUUGUGAAAGCCCCGGGCUCAACCUGGGAACGGCAUCCGGAACUGUCAAGCUAGAGUGCAGGUGAGGAAGGUAGAAUUCCCGGUGUAGCGGUGAAAUGCGUAGAGAUCGGGAGGAAUACCAGUGGCGAAGGCGGCCUUCUGGACUGACACUGACACUGAGGUGCGAAAGCGUGGGUAGCAAACAGGAUUAGAUACCCUGGUAGUC